AGCGACAGGCCUAACACAUGCAAGCAGGGGCAGCACAGGAGCAAUCUGAGGUGGCGACCGGCGCACGGGUGAGUAACACGUAUGCAACCUGCCUGUAAGCGGGGAAUAACCCGUUGAAAGACGGACUAAUACCGCAUAAUACUAAAUUACUGCAUGGUAAUUUAUUUAAACAUUUAUGGCUUACAGAUGGGCAUGCGCAUGAUUAGCUAGUUGGAGAGGUAACGGCUCCCCAAGGCAACGAUCAUUAGGGGUUCUGAGAGGAAGGUCCCCCACACUGGUACUGAGACACGGACCAGACUCCUACGGGAGGCAGCAGUGAGGAAUAUUGGUCAAUGGACGAGAGUCUGAACCAGCCAAGUCGCGUGCAGGAAGAAUGUCCUUAAUGGAUUGUAAACUGCUUUUGCAGGGGAAUAAAGUGCAUCACGUGUGAUGUUUUGUAUGUACUCUGCGAAUAAGGAUCGGCUAACUCCGUGCCAGCAGCUGC
rnacentral:rRNA from 1 species